UAGCUAGUUGGUGGGGUAAGGGCCUACCAAGGCGACGAUCGGUAGCUGGUCUGAGAGGAUGACCAGCCACACUGGAACUGAGACACGGUCCAGACUCCUACGGGAGGCAGCAGUGGGGAAUAUUGGACAAUGGGGGCAACCCUGAUCCAGCAAUGCCGCGUGUGUGAAGAAGGCCUGAGGGUUGUAAAGCGCUUUCAGUGGGGAGGAGUGUUGAUGGGUUAAGAGCUAAUUAACUGGACGUUACCCACAGAAGAAGCACCGGCUAACUCCGUGCCAGCAGCCGCGGUAAUACGGAGGGUGCGAGCGUUAAUCGGAAUUACUGGGCGUAAAGAGUGCGUAGGUGGUUGAAUAAGUUAUCUGUGUAAUCCCUGGGCUUAACCUGGGCAGGUCAGAUGACACUGUUUAACUCGAGUAUGGGAGAGGGUAGUGGAAUUUCCGGUGUAGCGGUGAAAUGCGUAGAGAUCGGAAGGAACACCAGUGGCGAAGGCGGCUACCUGGCCUAAUACUGACACUGAGGCACGAAAGCGUGGGGAGCAAACAGGAUUAGAUACCCUGGUAGUCCACGCUGUAAACGAUGUCAACUAGCUGUUGGUUAUAUGAAAAUAAUUAGUGGCGC
rnacentral:rRNA from 1 species